rnacentral:rRNA from 1 species
CCUACGGGAGGCAGCAGUGGGGAAUAUUGGACAAUGGGCGAAAGCCUGAUCCAGCAAUGCCGCGUGAGUGAUGAAGGCCUUAGGGUUGUAAAGCUCUUUUACCAGGGAUGAUAAUGACAGUACCUGGAGAAUAAGCUCCGGCUAACUCCGUGCCAGCAGCCGCGGUAAUACGGAGGGAGCUAGCGUUGUUCGGAAUUACUGGGCGUAAAGCGUGCGUAGGCGGUGACUCAAGUCAGAGGUGAAAGCCUGGAGCUCAACUCCAGAACUGCCUUUGAAACUAGGUCGCUAGAAUCACGGAGAGGUGAGUGGAAUUCCGAGUGUAGAGGUGAAAUUCGUAGAUAUUCGGAAGAACACCAGUGGCGAAGGCGGCUCACUGGACGUGUAUUGACGCUGAGGCACGAAAGCGUGGGGAGCAAACAGGAUUAGAUACCCUGGUAGUCCACGCCGUAAACGAUGAUAACUAGCUGCCAGGGCUCUUAGAGNUUGUGGCGCAGCACGCAUUAAGUUAGUCCGCCGUGGGGAGGUACGGUCGCGAAGUAAGUUAAAACGUUAAAAGGUUAAAGUUAGUUACGGCGUGAGAGUUGCCGACGGACGACGACGAGGGGAGGAGG